rnacentral:lncRNA from 1 species
AAAAAAACAAAAAAAACAAAAUGGAAAAAAAGAAAUAUAGGUUUAUCGACCUUUGAAUGAUACCAAAGAAGGUUUGAGAUUCAGUUUUUGAUUGGAUACCGUUAAAUAUUAUUUUCAAAUUUGUCAUGAUGAGUUGAAGUUGACAAACCUUUAGAAAUAUGGAGAAAAACUAUGUAAACUAAUGUAAUUUCAUUAAACAAGAGGGAGCUAAUUGACCAAUGGUCUAAUUCAGUGGAAAAAGACCUUGAUUUGUAAAUCAGUAUUUCAGAUUCGAACUUUCAUGGCGCUGUGCUAGUGUGUGUGAGAAACCCCCUACCCCUUGUAAGCCAAUUUUGAGAUUUUGAGGGUCCUGUGCCAAACUUAAACUCGAGUCUUCGUAUAAUCUAAUAUGAAAAUACUAAAAAAAAUAAAACAAUUUUUUUAUAACUAAAAUUCAUCAUCAAUUAGCAUGUAAUAACAAUCACAAAUCAAAUUCAUAAAUUUUUUAAUGUUUUCAAUUGAUAAAUUUAAAUAUUAGUAUGUUCGGUAAAAACAUAAGAGUUCAAGAGAAAGAACGCAUAAAUUUUUAUUUAUUUAUUUAGGUUUUGUUUUUUAGUAGAAGAAAGUAAUUUUUUUUUUUUUUUUGGGUUUAGGUGUGAU